ACGGCGAGUGAAGAGGGAAAAGCCCAAAUUUGUAAUCUGGCCCUUUCUUGAAAGGGUCCGAAUUGUAAUUUUGAGAACUGUUUUCUGUGCUGGACCAUGUACAAGUCUGUUGAAAAACAGCAUCAUUGAGGGUGAAAAUCCCGUAGAUGAUAUGGACUACCAGGGCAAUAUGAUACAGUCUCUAAGAGUCGAGUUGUUUGGGAAUGCAGCUCAAAGUGGGUGGUAAAUUCCAUCUAAGGCUAAAUAUAGGUGAGAGACCGAUAGCAAACAAGUACCGUGAGGGAAAGAUGAAAAGAACUUUGGAAAGAGAGUUAACAGUACGUGAAAUUGUUAAAAGGGAAACAUUUGAAGUUAGACUUGUUAUUGUUGGAUCAGCUUCUUUAUUGAGGUGUAUUCUGAUGAUUAACAGACCAGCAUCAAUUUUUGAGUGCCGGAAAAAGGUAUUGGGAAUGUAGCAUCCUCUGGUUGUGUUAUAGACCUUUACUUCAGAAUACGGUGCUUAGGAUUGAGGAACGCGGUAAGC
rnacentral:rRNA from 1 species